GGAUGCGAUCAUACCAGCACUGAAGCACCGGAUCCCAUCAGAACUUCGAAGUUAAGCGUGCUUGGGCGAGAGUAGCACUAGGAUGGGUGACCUCUUGGGAAGUCCUCGUGUUGCAUUCC
rnacentral:rRNA from 2 species